rnacentral:rRNA from 1 species
CAUGUCUGGAACUUGUGAGAGAUCACUUGGUGCCUUCGGGAGCCAGAACACAGGUGCUGCAUGGCUGUCGUCAGCUCGUGUCGUGAGAUGUUGGGUUAAGUCCCGCAACGAGCGCAACCCUUGCCAUUAAUUGCCAUCAUUUAGUUGGGCACUUUAAUGGGACUGCCGGUGACAAACCGGAGGAAGGUGGGGAUGACGUCAAGUCCUCAUGGCCCUUAUGGGUAGGGCUUCACACGUCAUACAAUGGUCGGUACAGAGGGUUGCCAAGCCGCGAGGUGGAGCUAAUCUCUUAAAGCCGAUCGUAGUCCGGAUCGUAGUCUGCAACUCGACUACGUGAAGUCGGAAUCGCUAGUAAUCGCGGAUCAGCAUGUCGCGGUGAAUACGUUCCCGGGUCUU